UACGGAGGGGGCUAGCGUUGUUCGGAAUUACUGGGCGUAAAGCGCGCGUAGGCGGACCUGCAAGUCGGGGGUGAAAGCCCGAGGCUCAACCUCGGAACUGCCUUCGAUACUGCGGGUCUCGAGUCCGGGAGAGGUGAGUGGAAUUCCUAGUGUAGAGGUGAAAUUCGUAGAUAUUCGGAAGAACACCAGUGGCGAAGGCGGCUCACUGGACCGGUAUUGACGCUGAGGUGCGAAAGCGUGGGGAGCAAACAGG
rnacentral:rRNA from 1 species